rnacentral:rRNA from 1 species
GUCACACUAUCAUUAACUGAAUCCAUAGGUUAAUGAGGCGAACCGGGGGAACUGAAACAUCUAAGUACCCCGAGGAAAAGAAAUCAACCGAGAUUCCCCCAGUAGCGGCGAGCGAACGGGGAGGAGCCCAGAGCCUGAAUCAGCAUGUGUGUUAGUGGAAGCGUCUGGAAAGGCGCGCGAUACAGGGUGACAGCCCCGUACACAAAAGCGCAUGUGCUGUGAGCUCGAUGAGUAGGGCGGGACACGUGGUAUCCUGUCUGAAUAUGGGGGGACCAUCCUCCAAGGCUAAAUACUCCUGACUGACCGAUAGUGAACCAGUACCGUGAGGGAAAGGCGAAAAGAACCCCGGCGAGGGGAGUGAAAAAGAACCUGAAACCGUGUACGUACAAGCAGUGGGAGCCCCACCACCAAAGCAUUCUCUGGUGUUGAAGGCCCUGCAAAGCAGCAUCGCGGUGGCGGAGCGUCGUUUGCGACGCCCGACACACAAAACAAGCGGUGAGUGCUUUGGGGUGGGGUGACUGCGUACCUUUUGUAUAAUGGGUCAGCGACUUAUAUUCUGUAGCAAGGUUAACCGUAUAGGGGAGCCGGAGGGAAACCGAGUCUUAAUUGGGCGUUAAGUUGCAGGGUAUAGACCCGAAACCCGGUGAUCUAGCCAUGGGCAGGUUGAAGGUUGGGUAACACUAACUGGAGGACCGAACCGACUAAUGUUGAAAAAUUAGCGGAUGACCUGUGGCUGGGGGUGAAAGGCCAAUCAAACCGGGAGAUAGCUGGUUCUCCCCGAAAGCUAUUUAGGUAGCGCCUCGUGAAUUCAUCUCCGGGGGUAGAGCACUGUUUCGGCUAGGGGGUCAUCCCGACUUACCAACCCGAUGCAAACUGCGAAUACCGGAGAAUGUUAUCACGGGAGACACACGGCGGGUGCUAACGUCCGUCGUGAAGAGGGAAACAACCCAGACCGCCAGCUAAGGUCCCAAAGUCAUGGUUAAGUGGGAAACGAUGUGGGAAGGCCCAGACAGCCAGGAUGUUGGCUUAGAAGCAGCCAUCAUUUAAAGAAAGCGUAAUAGCUCACUGGUCGAGUCGGCCUGCGCGGAAGAUGUAACGGGGCUAAACCAUGCACCGAAGCUGCGGCAGCGACACUGUGUGUUGUUGGGUAGGGGAGCGUUCUGUAAGCCUGUGAAGGUGGCCUGUGAGGGUUGCUGGAGGUAUCAGAAGUGCGAAUGCUGACAUAAGUAACGAUAAAGCGGGUGAAAAGCCCGCUCGCCGGAAGACCAAGGGUUCCUGUCCAACGUUAAUCGGGGCAGGGUGAGUCGACCCCUAAGGCGAGGCCGAAAGGCGUAGUCGAUGGGAAACGGGUUAAUAUUCCCGUACUUGGUGUUACUGCGAAGGGGGGACGGAGAAGGCUAUGUUGGCCGGGCGACGGUUGUCCCGGUUUAAGCGUGUAGGUGUGUGUUCCAGGUAAAUCCGGUUCACUUUAACAC